CCCUCCUGGGCUCCAGUUCCGUGGCGGUCCAGGCCACCUCUUCUCCAGUUCCGCGGUGGUCCAGGCCACCUCUUCUCUAGUUCUGCCGCGUCCAGCCUUCCGUCGUGCUCCCUCACCUCUGUUCUCUAGAAGAGAAGGUAUUUUUUUUACUGUAAUUGUUGUUUUAAUUUUUCUUCUUCAAUUAUUGUUGUUAUCACCGUGGUCUAGGAUUGUUGAUGAUAUUCUUGAUUCUGUUAUGCUGUUGUUGGUCGCCACCCACAACCAUCGACAGCAGCCGACGACCACCGGCCGAGCCCGCCUCCUUCUGAAUUUGGCUGAAAUUCAAGGAGCAUAUGCAGUACUGGAGUAGAUAAGCAAGCUUGCCAAGGUUCAGAAAAAGGUCUCUGAAGUUAAGGGUGUCAUGAUCUAGAAUAUUGAAAAGGCUGUAGAAACGUGAGAACUUUGUUUCAAUUAGAUAUGCAGUUUUAUUUUUCCAAAAGUAUCUAUUGAUUUGCCAGAUUUGGUUUUGAAACUUUAAUCAAAAUAAAACAGGAAACUUUAGUUUUGCAUGUAGCUUAGCCAACUAAUUUAGAAAAAAAGGAAGCCUUUGGAGGAACAGGGCCAGGUGGAGCAAGAAAUAUUGCAAUUAUUUGUUGAUGGGUGCAUGAGGGACUUCAAAUCAUGCUAUUUCAAGAUUUUCAGAAGUUAAUGCGAGUCUUGUGUCAAACUCUCUGCCAAUUGAGUUAAAUAUAUAUAGAGAGAACUCUUGUUAAAAAAUUUGUGUCAAUAUUUUUUUAAUGAAUAUCUUACAGUAUUUUAUCUAAA